rnacentral:rRNA from 13 species
AGCCGGGGCGUGAGCCAUCCGGUGGAGAGAUCACUAGUGAGAAUGAUGACAUGAGUAGCGACAAAGAGUGUGAGAGACACUCUCGCCGAAAGUCCAAGGGUUCCUGCUUAAAGUUAAUCUGAGCAGGGUUAGCCGGCCCCUAAGGCGAGGCCGAAAGGCGUAGCCGAUGGGAACCACGUUAAUAUUCGUGGGCCUGGGAGUGUGUGACGGAUUUCGAAAGUUGUCAUCCCUUAACGGAUUGGGGUGGCAGCCUGGAAGUCCCAGGAAAUAGCCCUCCCGUAUAGACCGUACCCUAAACCGACACAGGUGGACUGGUAGAGCAUACCAAGGCGCUUGAGAGAACGAUGUUGAAGGAACUCGGCAAAAUACCUCCGUAAGUUCGCGAGAAGGAGGCCCAGUUUCUACGCAAGUAUUGGCUGGGGGCACAAACCAGGGGGUGGCGACUGUUUAUUAAAAACACAGGG